rnacentral:rRNA from 1 species
UGGGGAAUAUUGCACAAUGGGGGAAACCCUGAUGCAGCGACGCCGCGUGAGCGAAGAAGGCCUUCGGGUCGUAAAGCUCUUUUAUGAGGGAAGAUAAUGACGGUACCUCAAGAAAAAGCGCCGGCUAACUACGUGCCAGCAGCCGCGGUAAUACGUAGGGGGCUAGCGUUGUCCGGAAUCACUGGGCGUAAAGGGUUCGCAGGCGGAAUAACAAGUCAGAUGCGAAAGGCAUGGGCUCAACCCAUGUAAGCAUUUGAAACUGUAAUUCUUGAGAAGGGGAGAGGUAAGUGGGAUUCCUAGUGUAGCGGUGAAAUGCGUAGAUAUUAGGAGGAAUACCUGUGGCGAAGACGACUUACUGGACACAAAUCUGACGCUGAGGAACGAAAGCGUGGGUAGCAAACAGG